rnacentral:lncRNA from 1 species
CUAUGGGUUAGGUGAGAGUUGACGAAGGGAGGAAACGUAAGGGAAUUGUGCGCCUUCACCACCGGCCAACCCACAGCCGCGCCUUCCCACCCGAGCUGAGUAGUCCGCCGCCGUCUGUAAGAUCCGCGCAGAGCUCCUGAACAGCCGCGACGCGGAGGCAACCAGCAGAUCCUCGCCCCCGACCUCGAGUGGUGGUUCCACGGCCCGCCCUCGCACCAGUUAUCCGACUUCAGCUUGGUGGUUCCACGGCCCGUCCUGCUGGAGAUCUGCACGCAGUCGGCCGCCCAACGACUUUGACGUGAGGAACUUGACGGAGUCCAGCCGGACCAGAUCGGAGUCCUCCCCCAGAUCCGCGCACAGCAGCGCACCGCCGCACAGCAGCGUGAGUUGCAGCAGCGUGCCCCGCCG